rnacentral:rRNA from 1 species
CUGGUUGAUCCUGCCAGUAGCCAUAUGCUUGUCUCAAAGAUUAAGCCAUGCAUGUCUCAGUGUAAGCCGCAUUACGGUGAAACCGCGAAAGGCUCAUUAAAUCAGUUGUGGUUCCUUAGAUCGUACCCAAGUUACUUGGAUAACUGUGGUAAUUCUAGAGCUAAUACAUGCCGACAGAGUUCCGACCGGCCGGCGGCCUCCGGGUCGUCGCGUCGGAAGGAACGCUUUUAUUAGAUCAAAACCGGCCCGAUCCUCGGAUCGCGGCCCGCACAAAGACCUGGUGACUCUGAAUAACUUCGAGCUGAUCGCACGGUCCUGGUACCGGCGACGCAUCUUUCAAAUGUCUGCCUUAUCAACUGUCGACGGUAGGUUCCAUGCCUACCGUGGUGGUAACGGGUAACGGGGAAUCAGGGUUCGAUUCCGGAGAGGGAGCCUGAGAAACGGCUACCACAUCCAAGGAAGGCAGCAGGCGCGCAAAUUACCCACUCCCGGUACGGGGAGGUAGUGACGAAAAAUAACGAUGCGGGACUCAUCCGAGGCCCCGUAAUCGGAAUGAGUACACUUUAAAACCUUGAAACGAGGAUCAAUUGGAGGGCAUGUCUGGUGCCAGCAGCCGCGG